rnacentral:ncRNA from 1 species
GCCUGACGACAGGGGCGCCGCGGCAGGAGUGUCGCGGCUGAGAAGCACCCUCGGAACCUGACCCGGACAAUGCCGGCGUAGGGAGUCGUGCGGCGGCGGGC